rnacentral:lncRNA from 1 species
UUUGUUCCUAUAUAUAUUUACUAGCAUGACUGAUAGAGAGAGGCCAAAAAGACAGAACAAAAAAGAGAAACUGAGAGUGGCUGAUCUAUACUAUCGUACACACAGUUUGGUUAUAGUUUAUAUAUGAUAUAUACUUUAUCUAUUUUGUUGAUAUAUUUGAUUAUGUUUUCGGAUCGGAUCGUGUCAAUACGCCGUUUUCACAUAUACGUGUAUGAGGCGUGACAUUUGUGUUAUCCGAUCAAGUUGCGAUG